UUGAUCCUGGCUCANAUUGAACGCUNGCGGCAGGCCUAACACAUGCAAGUCGAGCGGUAGCACANAGAGNUUGCUCUCGGGUGACGAGCGGCGGACGGGUGAGUAAUGUCUGGGAAACUGCCUGAUGGNNGGGNNNGANUACUGGAAACGGUAGCUAAUACCGCAUAACGUCGCAAGACCAAAGAGGGGGACCUUCGGGCCUCUUGCCAUCAGAUGUGCCCAGAUGGGAUUAGCUAGUAGGUGGGGUAACGGCUCACCUAGGCGACGAUCCCUAGCUGGUCUGAGAGGAUGACCAGCCACACUGGAACUGAGACACGAUCCAGACUCCUACGGGAGGCAGCAGUGGGGAAUAUUGCACAAUGGGCGCAAGCCUGAUGCANCCAUGCCGCGUGUAUGAAGAAGGCCUUCGGGUUGUAAAGUACUUUCAGCGGGGAGGAAGGUGUUGUGGUUAAUAACCGCAGCAAUUGACGUUACCCGCAGAAGAAGCACCGGCUAACUCCGUGCCAGCAUCCGCGGUAAUACGGAGGGUGNAAGCGUUAAUCNNAAUUAUUGGGNUUAAAGC
rnacentral:rRNA from 1 species